UGGAGUAGCAUACUUCAGAUGGCGACCGGCGCACGGGUGAGUAACACGUAUCCAACCUGCCUUUUACUGGGGGAUAGCCUUUCGAAAGAAAGAUUAAUACCCUAUGGUAUAAAGAGUUCGCAUGUUCUCUUUAUUAAAGAAUUUCGGUAAGCGAUGGGGAUGCGUUCCAUUAGAUAGUUGGCGGGGUAACGGCCCACCAAGUCUACGAUGGAUAGGGGUUCUGAGAGGAAGGUCCCCCACAUUGGAACUGAGACACGGUCCAAACUCCUACGGGAGGCAGCAGUGAGGAAUAUUGGUCAAUGGACGCGAGUCUGAACCAGCCAAGUAGCGUGAAGGAUGACUGCCCUAUGGGUUGUAAACUUCUUUUAUAAGGGAAUAAAGUGAGGGACGUGUCCCUUUUUGUAUGUACCUUAUGAAUAAGGAUCGGCUAACUCCGUGCCAGCAGCCGCGGUAAUACGGAGGAUCCAAGCGUUAUCCGGAUUUAUUGGGUUUAAAGGGAGCGUAGGUUGACAUAUAAGUCAGCUGUGAAAGUUUACGGCUCAACCGUGAAAUUGCAGUUGAUACUGUAUGUCUUGAGUGUACAAGAGGUGGGCGGAAUUC
rnacentral:rRNA from 1 species